rnacentral:ncRNA from 1 species
GGCGGACUCCAAACUGCCAGAUCAACAAGCUGGUUACGAAAAGGGAACAACCGUGACCUUGGCCGCUCAGGCCGGGGCGAACGUAGUGUUCGAAU